AAAAUCCGUCGAAUUUCAAAAUCGUGAGGGUUCAAGUCCCUCUAUCCCCA
rnacentral:tRNA from 1 species